UACGAAGGGGGCUAGCGUUGUUCGGAAUUAUUGGGCGUAAAGGGCUCGUAGGCGGUCUGUUACGUCGGGAGUGAAAACUCGGGGCUCAACCCCGAGCCUGCUUCCGAUACGGGCAGACUAGAGGUAUGCAGGGGAGAAUGGAAUUCCUGGUGUAGCGGUGAAAUGCGCAGAUAUCAGGAGGAACACCGGUGGCGAAGGCGGUUCUCUGGGCAGUAACUGACGCUGAGGAGCGAAAGCGUGGGGAGCGAACAGG
rnacentral:rRNA from 1 species